GCGGGCGUAUCUCAGUUGGCAGAGUACGAGCUUCCCAAGCUCGGUGUCGCGGGUUCGAACCCCGUCGCCCGCUCCA
rnacentral:tRNA from 1 species